UGAUUCCAACCCAUCUAAGAAGAGAACCAAUCUGCUACAGCCUUUCUUUUAUAGAGAAUUAAUUUUCUUAGUUUUUACAUUUCCUAUCAAGGUGUAUUCUGGUGGUUGCCAUUUUCAAAUUGUGCUAAAGAAUUGCACAGUUUUCAGCGAGCAACCAAAUUGAAAUUAUAGAGGCAUCUGGAUGUUUACGUAAGGAAUUUGUUUAUGCCAAUAAAAAGUUAGCUUGGCAUUGACAAAUAUAAGAUGUGGGACAUUGCGACAUAUUAAUUUUAUUGUGUACUGCUCUGUCAUCAAAAACAUGGUUAAUUGAUGGCAAGAACUAAAUACGUAUGACUGUAUUUGCAAAUGUGAAGAUGAGUCUUGGUUAAAGUUUGUGUAAUUUGCUGACUGAAAAAUCUUAAGUAGUUUAAACUUUUAAUAGAAGAAUGUGUCUUGCAACCAAGAAAGAGUGAAAUGGAGUUGUUUUUGUGAAUGCUUGUUGAAAACAGAAACUUCAAAUCCUCUAAGGUCUAUUUGCUGCAUAUAAAGGAAGUAGAGCAUUGCACAGUUUCUAUCUCGUUCUAUUUGGGUUCAAAAGUGAAAUAUUUGGCCUUGUAUAGAGUUCUGCUGGCUUAACAGUUGUUUGCUGAAGGUAGUUAUUCAGUUUAACUAACGGAUAAACUGUAGUUACAGUAUUUGUAUAUUUGUUUUUUGUGCUACUGCUAUUGCAAGUUAUAUUUGAUGAUGUUCUUCAAUUACUAGCUUAGGUUAUUGGGGUUUAUAUGCGGUUUUAUUAUCCUGCGGUUUUAGAAUGUUCAGUGAGGUGCUUGGAAUAGUUCGUGUUUUAAUGAUUUGGGCAAGGUUUUGAAAAAACAGGUGGGAAAAUUGGGUGUCCCACCAUCCUGAGUGUCCGGAUGGGAUGAGUCAGGAAAUGGACCAAGAUGUGAUAGGACAUCCAUUGUAUGUGAGCAGUCCAUUCCAUGGAAAAUGUGGGAUGGCCCCAUCACCUGUUGUGUAUAUCCUUGGGUUUUGGGCUUUGAUUUGAGAGGGGAACGAGGAACUUAGAUUGGUGGAACAUGGACUUCAAUGAUGCCUUUUUUUACAUUUAUUUUGCAUCAUUACUUGUAAAGUGAAUAGAAGGCAAACAGUUGGAAGAAGAUGACAAUUGAUUUCUCCAUGAAUGCGUGCUUGCAUUCUCUAAUUUCGUAUUUUCCCCUGUUCUUUGAUUGGAUCUAAAUAUUGAACUUCCUGUGAAACUAACAAGCAUGCCGGUAUGUUUUUUUGCAUCUUAACCGUCAUCAUCUUUGUAAAUGGAUUAAAGUCCAAAGCUUCAUAUACUGCAAUUAAUGAGCAAAGCAUAUCCAGCAUGUUAUUUCACGAUCACAUAAUUCUAUCAAAUAUAACUCAAAUUUUGUAUACGAUCAGCACUUAAAGCUUUUACUAUCAUGACAAGGAGCAAGUUGUCUACUUUAUUCUUAAUGUACAAUUAAUUUGAAAAGCCAUUUGGUUUUUGAUAGGAGAUUAAUGGGGUCGAGUGCUGAAUUAGAAUAAUGGAGGCAAAAUUUGGUGACUGUGGUUUGUAAUUAAAUAGAGAAUGUAUGAUAUGCAACCUAGCGAACAUUAAAAUGAAAAUGGAAGUUCAAGUGAAAUGGAUGAAUUUACGGUAAUUUCUGGUGAAGUUACUGCUAAUAUUCCAGAAGAUGUUGCACAAUGUAGCCUAUUUGUAGAUGACGUAGUUGAUUUGAUAAUAAAAAGAUUAUACUAAAUGCUAAGUUAGAUUUAUAGAAGAAAGGGCUUAACAAUCAGUAGAACAAUGGUAGAGUUAAUGGUAGUGAAAUGGAUGAAUUUACAGUAAUGUCAGGUAAAUUUACUACUAAUACUCCUGACGAUGUGAAUGUAGGCUAGUUGUAGAUGAUGUAGUUGAUUGACAAGAGAAAAACUAUACUAAAUGCAUAAUUGGAUUUGCAGAAGAAAGGGCUUAACAAUCAGUAGAAUACUAGUAGUUAGUGAAAAUAAAAGGGAGGAUGAGGCCCCAGACAAUUUUGAUGGAUAAGAUAUACCACAAAGUGAUUGGUUCCAUCAUUUAGAAUUUGCUAUACAGAAUAAUGGGGAUACGCGAAGACAUGCUAUAUAGUUAGAGCUAGUUGGAUGAAGAUGGGAGGUGCUUUGGAGAAUUAUGUGAUUGAUACAUGCCUUGGCAACUUGAGGAAUAACUUUUCUAGAAUAACAAAUAAAACUUACAAUGUCAUAUGACAACACUGAACAGUAAAGGUCUAAUAAAACAUGUAGAGUGGAGAAGAAAUAUGAAUCCUAAUGUAGAUAUGUGGUACAAUUUUGUGUGUAUUGAAAAGAUGAGUAUAUAACGAUAGAAUGAUAGGUAGUUUGAUCAUGACACUAUAAAGUAUGGAUGUAUGCAACAAAGAAAUGACAGGACUGUUUGCAAGGAGGGUUAUGUAAAUCUUUGCUGGAAGAUGUAGGAAAAGGAGAAGGAAACCUAUGGUUACACAGGCUGAAGUUUUUAAGGACAUGAAAAAGCUUGUAAUAAAAUCAAGGAUAACCCUAAAUAGGAAUGUUUGGUAAGUAAGGAUUUGUCAAGCUGAUUCUGAAUAGUUGGGGCAAGGCUUGAUGGUGAGUUCUGAUUAUAUUCAAAGGGUUGUGAGAAGAAACAGUGGAAUGAAGAAAGGAAAAAGGAAGCAAUCAGGAGGAAAACAUUUAUGAAUUGGUCAUUAAAGCUAUUAGCAUGACUUGAUGGAUGCUGAUCUUGUCAUCACAUCUAGACUAAGACCAAGAAAAGACCAAGAACAAUCUAAAUCUUGUAGUUAUGGAAGUCAAGUUGUUUCAACAGAUAAUUUGAAUACCAGGAGGGUUGUACGAAGGAUUAAUAUAGGUAAGAUAAUAAAAGGAAGUAUUUGAUGAGUUUAUUAUAUUUCUUUUCUUUUGCAUGUGAGUUUGUUUUGGUUCUGUUGUCUUAAUAAGGAUUUGGAGUUAUUUGCGAGAGGCUGAUGGGUAAAAAGAUAAGCAACUAGUAGGAAGGGGGUGCCUGACUUCCUUGAUUGGUCAAGGGAAAAAAGUGAUUGUCAGAAGUUACUGCAGGAAGUAGAUGGAGAAAAAAGGUAGAUGUUUUGGUGAAAAUUGUAGGUGGGUCGAACAAGAUUGAAUGUGGAUGGCUUGACAUCUAAGAAUGACGGGCUUGAUGGUGUGGGUGGGCUGACAAGCGGCAAGAGAUGAAAUAAGAAGGAUUUGCUGGGGGGAAAGCAAUCAUGUGUGACUAGUGGAACUCAGGUAAGUGGAGUUUAUGGAACCUAUAGUAGAAUUUGGAUUAAAUUGGAUGACAGUGUUCUGGUGUUUCAUCUUGAUGGGAGCUAGAUUUUGCCAAAAGGAUCUUCACUAUCUUAUUGAAGAUAUGUAUGGACUACAGAAUCUAGAAGACUUUACAGUUAUAUCCGGGAAGGAUGUGAUCUGGCUGAUUGAUUGCUAGCCAUCGCAGAGCUCACUAGAGUCGACAUGGAAUUAAGGUUUAGAGCAUUGUAAGGGUUUGGGUUUGGUUGGACAAUCUGGAAAAUUUCACUUGUUUGUAACUGUUUCUGUAGCCCUUGUGGCCCGUUUACCCAAAAAAAGGGGGGCAAAAAAGACAAUGAGCUAUGAUAAGCUAGUGACUUACCUGUUGUCAUGUGUGGACAUGAGUCACAAGAACUUUAAUGUAAAGGAGGAAAUGACUUGAGGUAUUAUUUUUAACAUAGCUACUUAAGGUUGUUUUAUUUCAUUUAUCCAUCAGUUUGAUCAUAUUUUGGUAAUCUUGAUUAUUCACUCCUACUAAAAAAUCUUGAUUAUUCACUGCAUUCUGAAAAUAAAAUUUAACAGGUAAACGAUUCUAGUUUUGGUUUCUUUCUCGAGUUUUCUGCAAGCAUAAGGUGUGUGGACUAAUGCCUGUGUAUGUUAAUUGUAUAUAUUUGCUUUUAUGCUAUUAAUGAUUCUUUAUUUAAUGCAUUCAAGUUUGUUGGUCAGGUGUCGGCCUAUUUGCGGAAGCAUGCAUAAAUCUUUCGCUGUGCAAGUUCUGCGCUUCACCUUCCUCAGAUUCUUAUCUAAGAUGGAUUUGAUACCUUGGGCUGCCAUUUGUGGUUGGAAGGCUUCACGAGGUAGCCUUUCGAGAACCUUGAAUUCCGGUACUUGCAUUAGCAUCAUUAGGGCUUUCGAGCCCCAAAAGAUGGACUAAAGGUGUGUUGGGUCGACACCUAAAAGUUCACCCUCGACACUUGCAACUUUAUAUCACUGGUUAUAUCAGUUGUCAUAUAUCUGCACACGUACAAUCAAAGUCGAGGAUUCAAUAUCUGGCAGCUCACUUUCUUGGCCGCAAAAGUGGAACUGAAACUCUUGAGAACCAAGAGUUCAUGCUAAGUUUUAGGAGGAAUGGAAAUUUAAGACCGUUUUUGGGUCUUCUUAUUCCCUAGGAGUCGGACAUUCUUAAAGCAUUCUGGCACCCGAACGACGAAAAGCAGCUGUUCAAAGAAUACUUUAUUUUGAAUGAUUUAUUCAAGCUUGUCGAUGAUGUCGAUGGAUCAAGUUCUUUUAUCUCAACAACCGUAAAGCAUUCGUUUUGUUGUUAAUUUGUUGCAACAUUUCACGACAUUCAGUUAUUCAUGGUAUCCAAAUUAUACGAAUUAUAAGAAACUCAUACUAGAAAUACCAGUAAUUUUCUGCUGAA